AGAGUUUGAUCCUGGCUCAGAACGAACGCUGGCGGCGUGCUUAACACAUGCAAGUCAAGGAGAAAGUCUCUUCGGAGGCGAGUAAACUGGCGCACGGGUGAGUAACGCGUGAGGAACCUGCCCAUAUGUCUGGGAUAACCUGCUGAAAAGCGGGCUAAUACUGGAUAUAUUGUUUACCGCAUGGUGAACAAGGAAAGUUGGUGUAAGCUAACGCAUAUGGAUGGUCUCGCGUCUGAUUAGCUAGUUGGUGGGGUAAAGGCUCACCAAGGCUACGAUCAGUAGCCGGUCUGAGAGGGUGGCCGGCCACACUGGGACUGAGACACGGCCCAGACUCCUACGGGAGGCAGCAGUGGGGAAUUUUGCACAAUGGGGGCAACCCUGAUGCAGCGACGCCGCGUGAACGAGGAAGGCCUUCGGGUCGUAAAGUUCUUUCGACGGGGAAGAAAUGUUAUACGAGUAACUGCGUAUAAUUUGACGGUACCUGUAGAAGCAGCCCCGGCUAACUCCGUGCCAGCAGCCGCGGUAAUACGGAGGGGGCGAGCGUUGUUCGGAGUUACUGGGCGUAAAGCGCACGUAGGCGGUGCGGUAAGUCAGGGGUUAAAGGUCACAGCUCAACUGUGAUAAGGCCUUUGAUACUAUCGUGCUAGAGUGUCAGAGAGGGUAGCG
rnacentral:rRNA from 1 species